GGGGAAAGGCCCGCCCGCCCCGCCAAUUAAAAAAACAGCGGUUGGAACCGAUUCGUCGCGCCAGCGGCCAAGAUGCCGCGCGAAUGUUGCGCUGUCGAUGGUUUCGCCGCGUUCGUCGAGCGCAAUGAUGGACGAUUUGUCAGGAAUCAGUGCCGAGAUCGCCGCCGCCUCAUCCGCCAUGCGAGCGGCGGCGUCACGCGCGCGGCUUUCCGGAAUUUCAUGGAUCUCAAGGCUGCGAAAUCCGAGCUUGCGGCCGAUGUCGUCGAACCGCUCGCGAUAGCGUUCGGCGAGCUCCCGUUCCGGGCCUUGCUUCAGGCGGCCAAUGGCGAUGACAACGAUACGCAUGGCGCGCAAACUAACAUGCGCGCAAGCACAUGAACACGCACAGGCUCACCGCUUAUCAGCGGGCCCUUGCCGCCGGUUUGUCCGAGGUCCACAUCUUUUCGAGAUUGUAGAACUCGCGGACUUCCGGCCUGAACACGUGAACGAUCACAUCGCCGGAAUCGAUCAGCACCCAGUCGCAAUUGGGCAAUCCCUCGAUAUGAGGGGCUGCGAUUCCGCUUUCCUUGAGGCCUUUCGCGACAUUCUCCGCGAUCGCGCCGACAUGGCGGUUGGCCCGCCCGGAGGUCACGAUCAUGUAGUCGGUGAUGGAGGAUUUGCCGCGGAGGUCGAUGGUGAUCGUUUCUUCCGCCUUCAUGUCGUCAAGGCGGGAGAGGAUCAGGCUCAGC
rnacentral:misc_RNA from 1 species